GCAAGAAGCCUUACAGUAUUUCCAAUUGGACUCGCUUUAUGAAAUCUGCUGAGAGCAGCUGAUAGUCUGAACCCUUCCGUUUGGAUACUAUGAUUGGCUGAGUUCAGAAGCUCCUCCCUCAAUCUACCUGACCAGCUCCUUAUAGCUGGAUCGCACAGCCUCUCCUCUCCUCACCCUCCAACCUGCUCAUCUCUCAGCUGGACAGUAAGGGACAUUCACACCACACACUGACAACAUGCUGGGGACACUCUGCACUCUCAUCACUGUGCUCUCAUGUGUUGGAGGUCAGACACUGUUGACACAGAAACCCUCAAUGCUGAGUUUAACUAAAGGACAGACAGCAACCAUGGACUGUAACAUUGGCCCAGAGGAUACAUAUAAUAUUUACUGGCAGUGCUCCUCAGUUUCUGCUGUAUUUCUACCACUCUCACAAAUCUCCCACAUAUGGAGCUGGGUUCUCCUCCAGCCGCUUUACCUCCACAGCCCAGGGUAAAACAGAUUAUCAGUUAAUAAUCACCAAUGUGGAGGCAGGAGACUCAGCAGUGUAUUACUGCCAGAAAUGGGUGAGCUCUGUGAGUGAGGAGGUAUCACAGUGAUUCACACCAUGACAAAAACCUCAGCGGAGAACAUCUGCACUUCUGCUUUUAAAGAUAGCUAGAACACACACUCACUUCUCAUUCUGAUAAACAGACAUGAACUAAACCUGAACCAAAGCAUUGGUAACAGCAGUUCUCUCCUACUCUCAGUACCUCUCGUGAGUUGGUCAGAUAAACCCGGAAUAUAUUUAUAUAUCAUUACAAUUUUCAGAUGCACGUUCACGAAAAACAUUUUCAUUAAUAUGAAACAUUUUCAAACAAAUUGCCUUCAUCUGCCAGCCCUUUUCACAGCCAAAACAGAUUAGGUCAUUUAACUGCAUUCCACGUAAACUAGUCCUCACAUCUAAUUAGCUGUUUCUCUAAAUUAUUAUGUGAUUAUAGCAAAUUGUAAAAUUAAUAAAACAAACAACUCAGAUCUUUGAAACACCAUCAGUAAAAAUGUGAUGUCAAUAAUGUUUCACAGAAACACAUUUUUUUAAAUGAAUCUUGAAAAUAAUGUUAAUUAACCAAAGCUAUGUCAUCAUGCAUUUAUAUGAUCAUACUCUAUGCCUGUAUUUAUGAUAUUUUGUAGCACCAGACUGAGUUUUAGCAUCAUGCAGCGCUCUCAGUAUAUGACCCCAGAACUUUGUGGAAAACUCAAUGGAUCUAAAUGCAUCUUUCACUGUUGAGUUUCAUUUUGUAUCAAUAGAAAUUAAUAUAAACAUAUUCCAUGUGUAGGAAUAUGAUAUGGUAGUGUGUGUUUGAAUUAAGAAAGUUAUAUGAUGUCGUACUGAACUUGGAAUUUUCUUUUCAUAAAUAUAGCCACAAAACCCUCAUUACACAUGAUUAAUUAAAGGGUAGGGAUACUAACCCCAUUGCUGUGUCCAAACAAACUACAAUCGCAUAUUUAUUUCCCAGUGUGGGAAUGACUCCUGAUUGGCUGCAUAAUCCCCAUCAUCUCAUCACCUCUGUAUGAGUCCUCAGGUCUGCGCCAUUAAUGUGAGAUGAGCUCCCAGUUCACUUCACAGCUGAAACAAGUAGAGAAUAAAAUAAAUCCAUUUUAUGCAAUUAAUGUUGGCAAGUAUACAGUGUUAUUAAACUGGCUCAGCAAUAUGUUAUAUUCCGUUACAUUCUGUGCAGCAUACAAUGACCACAAUACUUUAUAUUUUCAUACAUUGUGAAUAGAAUUUAAUUAACAUCGGUGGUGGGAGCAUUGUGUAUUAUUAGUAUUACAUAACUGGCCUGUAUGAAUGUGAACGCUUGGUCUGUGAUAGGCUGACUGCAGUAGCUCCUCCCUCUCCAUCUCCCCGACUUCUCCUUAUAUCUGGGUCCUGAAGCCUCUCCUCUCCUCACACUCCUACCUGCUCAUCUCUCAGCUGGACAGUAAGGGCCGUUCACACCACACACUGACAACAUGCUGGGGACACUCUGCACUCUCAUCACCAUGCUCUCAUGUGUUAAUGGAGUGACAGUGGUUACACAGAAGCCUCCUGUUCUGUCAGUGAGUAAGGGAGAUACGGCCACUAUGGACUGUAACGUUGGGACUGGGGGUAGCCAUGCUAUCUGGUACAAGCAGGUUCCAGGUGGAGUUCCUCAGUUUGUGCUGCCGCUCUAUGAAGGUGAACACUCUCCAGUUAGAUAUGGAACCGGAUUCACAUCCAAUCGCUUCACAUCAACCCGUCAGAGUAAUACAGACUCCCAAUUUAUAAUUAAAAAUGUGGAGGCAGGAGACUCAGCAGUGUAUUACUGUCAGACAUGGGAUAACUCUGCUAAAGAGGAUGUAUCACAGUAAUUCACACCAUGACAAAAACCUCUGAGCUUCACUUCUGCUUUGAAGCUGCUUCAGAAAGGAGAGAAGAUGUGCAUUUACUCAAGCUGAACCAGGCUCUCUCAGCCAUGGAGCCAUUUCAUCUACAAAGUAAUGUUAACAGAGAAAUGUCCACUGUCCUCAAAGCUAAAGAAACUACAAGCAGCAAAAUCAAAUGAGUCAAUCAAUAAAAAGACAAAUAUCGAUAGUCAAUAAAGAUAACAUAUUUGGCAUCUGCAGUAACAGCACUGUUCACUGUAUCCAAAUCAAUCCAACCAGUCAACCCAUUAGGUAUAUACAAGCUAUAUCUCCCCCAAAAUAAGCCUUAAACCCCAUUUGCUAAAGAUGCCAAUUUAAUGUACAUUUCUAUUCCCUAAACAUUACUGGAUACUCAGUGAACAGUUUUGAGGUGAACAGUUGGUGAAAGGCCAUCUAGGUGUUAAAGUGAUAACUCAAAUGCAUUUGGUUGGGAAUUGAGUUUUCUAGCUGGCUAGGAUGUAGCCAGCCUAAAUACAGGUAAAAUCUGAACUAUAUUGAUGUUAACCUAGUCUGUUUAUGUCAAAAUGUCUCUCAACUUGGAUUUUCACCCUUACAGAAAUCUAUAUUCCCACUUUUGCUCAUUGGGUACUUUACUGAAGCAAUUUAAGUUACUUGCUCAAUGGUACAACAUGCAGUGCUCUCCCUAGGAAUCAAACCAAAAACUCUGGAGUUGCAUGUCUAGUUCCCUGAGCAAUAUGCUACAAUACCAAUCCAGUACAGGAUCUCUGUCUCCCUAUAAUGUAGUAAAGAGCAUUCUCUGAUGAAAUCCUGUAUUAUCCAGGUCACACAAAGCUCUUACUAAAUACCAUGUGCAAU